UGGGGAAUCUUCCACAAUGGGCGAAAGCCUGAUGGAGCAACGCCGCGUGUGUGAUGAAGGCUUUCGGGUCGUAAAGCACUGUUGUAUGGGAAGAACAGCUAGAAUAGGAAAUGAUUUUAGUUUGACGGUACCAUACCAGAAAGGGACGGCUAAAUACGUGUCAG
rnacentral:rRNA from 1 species